AUAAGAACUCUGGGCUCUCUCAGCUUAUGGCACCCAUCCUAUUUCUGAUUCAAAUUGAAAGAUGAUUUUUUUCUUAUUCAAGACUCCUAGGUCUCAUUCCAAAGAUGAAGCAUGCCUGCUACUUUUGAAAAUAUGAGGAAUUCUUUUGAUAGCUGUUUGUACCCAGUUUCUAAGAGCCUGAAGAAAUGACAACACAACUUCACAAAGCCAUGCUUUCAUAAAAACCGUAAUGACAAGUCUCCUUUCCUCCUCCACCUCCAGUUCUUAGACUAAGAUCCAUUAGCCACUCAGAAAUAAAAUACAAAUUGAAUAACUGAGGCUUGAUAGAGUUACAUCACUUGUCCAAAGAGAUAAUGCCAGUGAAUGGAAUAGCCAGAUCGAAUUCCAGAAUCCGUAAAGCUCCACUGCUUCUCUCUGAAUGUAAUAACCCAUCCACAAGCCCUAAGAUAUUAGACACAUCAGUGAUCACUCCAUCUGCUUUUGGCCCAUUGCUGUUGUCAGGAUUUAUGCAUUUAUGUCUGCAAUAAUUAUUUAUUGAGGACCUUCUCUCUUGCAAUUGCAUAUGGCCUUAUAACUGAAUUCUGACUUUAUGUCUCUCUUAGGAUAGACAGAUAAAAAUUUUUCAUAUGUGAUCUUCUUUCUGUCCCCUACCUCUCAGCUAUGAGCCUGAAACAGCAGAUUCAGUAGAACAGAGUUUCUCAGGAAUGGCAGAGCCACAAGUUGGGAGGAGCCCAGCUCUGUCCAACAACCUGGAACAUCCAUCAACCAGGAAAACUGUUGCACUUUAUGUGAUUAAGAAACAUUUUUUAAGGAAAAAAGCAGUAAAUUUUUGGGUUAUAUUUGUUGCAAUAGCUGUGUUACUUUCCUAAUGCACAAUCACAAAUGUAAAAUGCCACACACAGAGUGUGAGGAAAUAUAUUGCUAUUGGACUACUUGUAGUCUAUUUAAUUUUUUUAUAUAGCUAUAGCCAGAUCUGGGGUGAAAUGGUUUAGAAUAAUAAUUUCCAAUAGUAUACAUCAUACCUUUAAAAAGACUUUUAUGGAUGGAUAAAUAUCUAAUUAUGGAACUGCCCUGCAACGUAAGUGGUGAGAGAAACUCUUUAUAUAUGCUUUGUUUUUUUCUGAAUGCAUAGGUUCAGAAUUAUUAAACAAAUCCUCAUCUUUUGACAGCCAGUAAUCAAUUUCUCAUUUGCAGGGAAUCUAAUUGCAUUAGAGGGGACACUGGGGAAGUUAUGGACUACCUCAUCUUUCUACUAUAAAAAAUGAAACUACUUGUCUGUAUUGAAUUUGAUUUUAUAUGUUCAAUGAAAUAUAUCAUAUCCUUAUAAUAAAGUUAUAUAAGUUGC
rnacentral:lncRNA from 1 species